GCAAGAUGUUACUGUCACAGGAGCAACCAAUGGCCACGAUUCAAACCCCCCGUCGAAGCCCUUGGGAGGCCGAGUAGCCCAGGCAGCUUUCUAGGAGUAAUCUCUUCCACUCUUCUCUCUCAUUUUCUCUUCCUCGCCAUGGCCGCCAAGGUGCCUGCUCCCCUCCCUGGCCACACCCAGAGCUGCCGCACCCUCCUCCUCCUUAUACGUUUCUCCGCCACCGCACCAUUCCCCUACGCGCGCGUCCUCCCUAUUCCCCAUCAACAGGCGGCCGUGGGGCGGGGCGCCCGUCGAUCUACGUGCGGCGGUUGGGCUGGCGGCGACGUUAGUGGCACGGAGGCGGGCCAGCAAGCAGGGAGAGGGGCGCACCCUCUCUAUUUCCCAUCAGCAGAUGCGUUGGCGGGCAGGUGCCACGCCUAACUGCACCCUCCUCCACGCUCCCCGCGGCCACAGGCACCCCUGAGCGAGGCCAGCCUACCGAUCGAGCGGCAGGGCUGCGGUGCCGCCCCCUGAACCUCCCAAUCCCCUAGCUCUUACCACCACUUUACACUUCCCUUGAUUUACUUGCUGGUUACAGGUUCAUCCCGGUGCUCCUCCUUUUUUCUAGGUGAGAUAUAGAGUCCCAGCUCCUAUUCCUCUAUCUCACUUUUCUUCUCUCUCGGGCGGCCUAAAUUGGAGAAAUCGAGGUGAUGGUAGAAGGUCCUUUCUCUGUGGUUUCCUUGCGAUUGGAGUUCUCCAGCUGCAUAUAGCUUCAGUUCUAUGGGUCAGAUCUCCUCUUAGCCAUGGUAUCUUUGAUUCCAAGCCGGCCUAGAUUGCAGACUUGCUGUCCACAUCUCCAUCUAAUUGUCUGGGUUUUUUUUCCUGAUGUUGAUGCUACGGCAGGCUGGCCAGUUUCAUCUCUCUAUGGUUUGUGCGUUUCGCCUCCACAGUCAAAGAUGUAUGUACGGUGGUGUUGUUGUUGGUCCUGGUACUGCUGCAACUGAUGGGUGUUUUCUUCUGGUCGUCAGUGGUUUCCUUCACAUCUUCUUCUUCCUUGGUAGACAUACAUGCUUAAUCCCUCAUCUGUUGAUUCGGACACCGUUGCCCCAACUGAUGUUUCUGAUAGCUUAGUUGUUGGGUCGAUUUCUACUGAAAAAAUAUUUCUUCUACGAGCCAUGCCAAUUAUACAGUUGAUAUCAAUAUGGUUGAUAUUGCUGUCCGGAGGCGGGGAAUUUGUCUAGGCAAGCAGCCGACUGAUUCUGUUAUUAAUGUGUUCAUUUUCUUCUUUCUCUGUUGGAAGCUAAUUUCUUAUAUGCUGAGUGUAGUCAAAAUCACAAAAAAGGUUAAUUGCACACAAAUGGCACUGUUCUCAUGGUUUCAUGUAGUCUAUUGUUCACGAAUCUGAAACAAGUAUUUGACGAGCCAAGAGCACAUUGGCAUUUUUCUUCGUCUAAUUUGUGUGUUUAUGUUCUAGGUACUUCAAAUUUUAAUGCUGGCGAUAAGGAGGCCGUCGCUAGCAAAGAUGGCCAGACCGUCAAGUCUGCAUGCGAGACCGCCUCUGAAGCUCACGCCACGGACGUCGAGCGGUAAGGCCGGGGACAGGAAGGAGGCGGCGAACAGGCCUGGACAGACAAAGGACAUGACAAAGGAGGCUCUAAAAGGGACGGUCGUGAGGCUAUUGUGCUUCUAGACCAAACUUCAUCUGCGCGUCCUUCUCUUCGUAUUCUCUUGGCAAUAUCCAUAUAAUGGUACUUAACAUGUCGACUUUUCACUUCCACUGCAUCAUCUGGACAUCAGAACCAUUCAAAUCUUAAUUUAUUGCAUCUUACUGGAGUGACACAAAAUCAAGUUGUGCCCACUUUACAUUGAUCGGGUGUGCAAGAGGCGAACAAAAUUUCUACAAAGAUUAGUGCAGGUUUCUGCACGUGUAAUCAAAGUGUAUGGAGGGCAUAACUAGCUUUGCUACUGAAAAACUAUGAAAAUGCAGGUUUCUGCACUGUUUUUGGCUUUUGUUACAAGGAUCAGAUAAUUAGAAAUAACGGAACCACAUGCUUUGUUUUCCAAUUGACCGAUUUGUAUGACGCCACCUGUUCUAAUCUAGAUCGACUGCAUCCAGUAUUUUUCAAAUUAUUAUCCUGUUAUUCAAGUUAUCAUGUAGUUCAUUUCGUACAACAAAAUACCAACAUAUGCUCUCUUAGUUUCCUUCGAGUUAUGUAAAUUUACUUGCAAUAAUUAUGGAUGAUAUGGAGCAUUGUUAGUUGUCAUUUCAGUUUCCCAUACUCGAAAUAGUUUGGCAAUUUCUCUUAUCCAGGUGAUGUAGUUGUCCUCCAAAUAGUGAAAAAAUAAUUGAAAAAAUAGAAAUUAACUUUUAGGUUUAGCUUGAAUAUUCUCCUAUCACAUACUCUAAUACUCUAAUCCGCUUUCUAAAUAGGAGGACAAUAUUGGCAUAUUGGAUGCAUCUGGGAAUACAGGGAUAAGGAAACAAAGCAGAUAUUAAGACUUCAUCAUUGUUGAGCAUGAGGUACUUCCUCCAAGAUUUGAACACUGAAUUUUCUUAUCCGUACUUGCAAACAAAUAAAAGGCUGUCUCAGUAUACUACCUUUUUCUCUGUACAAACCAUGUGUAAAUCAUAAGAACGGUUUGUAGUUUCUCCCCCGACAGAAAUAUUGCUAUCCAUGACCGCCGUGCCUCCACAUUAUAGGCUGCAUUCUCUGUUUAGUACUACUAAAGUGGCAUCCUUUGUAAAAAAAAGUAUUUCUAUCCUCAUGCCACCUCAAUUGAGUACCUAUUAUUUAUUUCAUAUUCGUAAGCCAUGCAAACAAUUAAUCUGAAAGUCAUCGCAAGGGACUGAGAAUAAAUAGCUUUGUCAACAUAGGAUGGCACAAAAUGCAGGUUCAAGCAGUUUUUCAGCUUUUCCCAAGGCACCUGUCAGAUCUUAAACCCGUCAGGGAAGUAGUUUUACAAAAAAAAUAACGCUAUACUAUCGCAGCUGCAUUACAAAAUAUUUAGCACAUAGUCAGAGAGCCAAUAAAUGAGAAAAUAUGUGCGUCCCAUUAUCAAGGUUUGUACAUCUCUUCUCUUGUUGUUGAAUUCACUAUCAGUGAACUUAAAUACCUCCUGUUCAAAAUAAAUAUUUAUGUUUGAUUUGCAUUUCAGGGAAACUUGAUAGAAAGUUGUGUGCCAGCCAACUGCAUAGAUCAUUUCAUAGAACAAUUCAAGGUGCAUAUGAUAAAAUAAUAGAUCACCCAUACAUGCUGAUGAUGUCCUCUGUUUGCAUAUGAUUCACAUCCAUUUAGCGCACUAGAGGUGCAUAUAGGAAAUAAUAUCCUCCUAUCAGGUACUUGCGCAAUGCUGCAUAUGCUUUAUUGUUUGCACCCUUCAUUUUUUUAUCUUACCACACAUAUUUGUACUUCUCAACCGCUGCUUGGCUUUCUUCUGAUGUACUGAAAUAAUACUCCUUUUCAUUCACAAGUCAUUGUCGAUACAGUUUACAGUGUGAGCAUCAGUAAUUUAGAAGCACCACACAACUCCAUAAUUUGUAACACUAAAUUAUUGCUUAAAGUUGUAAUCAUGCCAUCAUCACCUUGGGGAGAGCAUGCCGACAGCUUUAAUGCGGCCGCCCUUCAUAGAGCCUCUUCUGAAGAUACCAGUGUUGUCAGGAUGAUAGUCAAGUAUUGCAAUCUCAAAUGCACACUCAUACAGAAUUUAUUGAUUGGACAAACUAUUCACUGAUUGGUGUAUUGUCCAGACUGCUACUUCCAUAUUGACUGCUUAUAUAAUGCAAUUCCAUGA